CACCCGUUCUCAUUAUCCUAGGAUGUCUUUUAUUCGUUCUAUAAGAAUUCAAAUAUUUGAUUAUUUGGGUAUUUUGUCACGUGUAUCUAGAAUUUACGUUUACAAUUUGUAAUUACGCAAUUUCCGACUUUUGAGUUCUUCGAGGGUGCUCUUGAUAUUUUGUAAAUUUGAUUUGGUCAAUAGAAAAAUGUAAUUUUUGCCGAUUCUGAACGAC